rnacentral:tRNA from 1 species
GGUAGCUCAGUGGUAGAGCGCUUGCCUUGUAUGCAUGAGGCCCUGGGCUCAAUUCCUCAGUACCA